rnacentral:lncRNA from 1 species
GACAGAAGAUGGCGGAUGAGCAGCGUGCAGGGUUUUCUCCCUGUGGCUCACUCUCUCUUACUGUGCUGGGCGGUUGCUUCCUCUCCUGCUGCCCUUGGGAGUCAGACUCCAGGUUCUUCAGCCUGUGGCCCCUGGGGCUCUCGGGCCUUGGAGGACUGACUAGGAGCACACGGUGGGCCUCUCUGGUUUGGGGGCCUGGGACGUGGCGGAGCCCUGCAGCUUCUGUGCGGCCUGUUCUGGGCGUCGCGUUGAAACGCCAGCCAGUUCCCCAAGAUGGACGUAGAACUACUCUAGGAAAUUCCUCAAACACUGCCAAGUACUUCAUGGCUGAAAGCCAAAUAUUCAGUCCCCCUGGGAUUACAGGAGUGUUGAAGAAAUGUUGUGACACAUCAGAACACCGCGAAAUACAUGGACACUUUCAAAUCAUGGAAGACUCAAGGGUCAGGAGGGCAUCUUUCUCGGCUCUUCACUGUGAGAACCUUGUGGGAUUCCUGAAGAUGAAACCAUGAACGCGAGGGAGUCUUGCUAAAACUGCAGCAUUCGAGAGGUUUUCACUCAUGCUGGCUCACACUUGUCCUCUAGCAAUUCAUCAAAAUUACCACGUAAGUGUUUCAACAGUUUAUGGCUCAGGUGGCCUCAGCUGUGAUGCUCCAAAUUUGCCUGUUUCUCCAGAUGCAGGGUAGCAGUUUGCUGUUUCUCCUGAGUUCUUUGAUGGAUUCAAGAAAAGUCAUGAUUUUCAGUUUGUUCUGAUUUUUUCUUGUGAGGGCAAAGUAAUGACUAAGCUUUAAUGUGUUUCAGCUAAAACUACAUGUAUUUUAAUAGCAAAAUGAGAUAUAAUUCACAUGUCAUAAAAGUCACCAUUUUUGGGUGCACAACUCAUUGGAUUUUAGUAUAUUCCAGGGUUAUGCAAGAAUAAAUAUUCUCUAAUUUUGGAACAUAUUUAUCUACUCAGAAAGAAACUUUGUGCUCAUUAACAGUUACUUAAUAUUCUCUCUCCCCUAACCUAUGGUAACUACUAGUCGACUUGCUAUAGAUUAGGUUACUUUGGAUAUUUCAUAUAUGUUGAAUCAUAAAAUAUGUGCCUUGGCUUCUUUCACUUACCGUAAUAUUUACAAAAUUCAUUCAUCUUACAAAGUACUUCAUUCUAUUUUUGAUUUUAUGGGUUAAUAAUAUUCUACUGUCUGGCUAUAUACAUGUAUGAAUAAUGUGGCAACAUUUUGUCCAUACACUCAUCAUGUGAUUAGUAUUUGCUUUGUUGUUGUUGUGUGUUUUUUAUUUUUCAGUUAUUAUGAAUAAUGAUUAUGAAUUCAGUUAUUAUGAAUAACUACAAUAAAUAGUUAUGCAUAA